AACGAACGCUGGCGGCAGGCCUAACACAUGCAAGUCGAGCGCCCCGCAAGGGGAGCGGCGGACGGGUGAGUAACACGUGGGAAUUUUCCUCAAGGUACGGAACAACUCAGGGAAACUUGGGCUAAUACCGUAUGAUGCAGAGAUGCCAAAGAUUUAUCGCCUUGGGAUAAGCCCGCGUCAGAUUAGGUAGUUGGUGGGGUAACGGCCUACCAAGCCUGUGAUCUGUAGUUGGGCUGAGAGGACGAUCAGCCACAUUGGGACUGAGACACGGCCCAAAAUCCUACGGGAGGCAGCAGUGGGGAAUCUUGCGCAAUGGGCGAAAGCCUGACGCAGCCAUGCCGCGUGAAUGAUGAAGGUCUUAGGAUUGUAAAGUUCUUUAGCCUGUGACGAUGAUGACGGUAACAGGAAAAUAAGCCCCGGCUAACUUCGUGCCAGCCGCCGCAGUAAUAC
rnacentral:rRNA from 1 species